ACAUAAAGAAUAAUUUAUAAGUUAAAAGUUGCCCAUGCUUUUAGAUAAAAUGAAAACCUUUAUAAGCAAAACCACGAAAAAAACAGCUGUAAGGAGGCCAAGCCCAGCUCCUCAAGGAGCAUCAAAGGAGAGGAGGCAGAAGGCCAGGGAGGGCAACCGGUCAUCUGCACUUGAGGACUAAAUCACUCCCUUCUGAGUGUGGACUUUCUGGCGUAACAAGAGCUUUACAUAAAUGUCCUAAAGUCUCUCUGACCCUUACCCAGUGUUAUUCUGGACAAGUUUAGGGGUAACAUUGCUUCUCAGAUCUGACAGCAACGUUUUGCCUUUUAAUCAUUCUCAUCUCAUUUCCUUACACUGAAAUAUUCUCUAGCUGUUCACCUUGGUCAGGCAAUUUAACCAAAGUGCUGGAGCAGAUACUGGGUAGAGAAUGAACCUCUCCCGGACUCCACCGUUUGGAUGCUCUACUCACGUGUCUUAUUCUAAACCUAGAAAUCUCAUGGCAUUAGUUCAGAGACUGAAAACAGGAUGUGUGCGUCACUGAGCAGAAAAUUCAGGAAGGUUUCUCUGAGGAAGAGGUGCUCGGUCACCCACACAGAUACCCACUGUUUCUUGUGAGGUACAAGACAGCGGGCCUGCGGUGAAAGCAACACAUGGAGCAUCCACUGGGAAACCCCACGUUCCCCAGCCGCGUCCCAAGUAAAACAAGCUGGUAAAGACGCCAAAAUGAAGAGGGACGUGGAGCCAGGGCAGACCCACGUCUCGCCUUCGAAAACACUUUGAGACCAGAGCCAGAAUGUCCACACCCAUGGCUUCCUUAAAAGACGACUUUCAAGUUCAGAAUUAGCAAAACUCCACAGCCCCUCUCUACAUUAACACCUGUAAGUGCAUCAAUCGCCUUUGAUUUUCGGAGUUUAUUUAACUUCACUUUACUUCUCUUCUCUUUAAUCCCCCUCCUGUGUCUCCUACCAAGUCUGUGGGCUGUUAGGCUCAGACUAGUCAAGGCCUUCACAGGGAGGCUCACUGCGCACUGAGGCAGAGCACGGGCAACAGCAUUUGACACAACGGCUCACGACUCAGACUGUCAGAACCAACACCAUUCCCCGCGAGGGCAGUGGCACCUGUCACCACGUCACUGCCAGAGCCAAGGGGGUCUGCGGCUCUCUCCUCAUCCCUAGGCAGAUUUUUCCCCUUUGGGCAUGAAUUUGUGUUAUAUAUAAAAUUCUUUACAUAAAGGAAUCCUUAA